UUUCCCGGUUGAUCCUGCCGGACCUGACUGCUAUCGGAUUGGUACUAAGCCAUGCGAGUCGUUGUAGCAAUACAAGGCGGACGGCUCAGUAACACGUAGUCAACCUAACCUAUGGACGUGGAUAACCUCGGGAAACUGAGAAUAAACCGCGAUAGAUCAUUAUGCCUGGAAUGGCUUAUGGUUCAAACAAUUUAUUGCCGUAGGAUGGGACUGCGGCCUAUCAGCUUGUUGGUGAGGUAAUGGCCCACCAAGGCUAUAACAGGUACGGGCUCUGAGAGGAGAAGCCCGGAGAUGGGUACUGAGACACGGACCCAGGCCCUAUGGGGCGCAGCAGGCGAGAAACCUUAGCAAUGUGCGAAAGCACGACUAGGUUAAUCCGAGUGAUUUCUGUUGAAGAAAUCUUUUGUCAGUCGUAAAACCACAGACGAAUAAGGGGUGGGCAAGUCUGGUGUCAGCCGCCGCGGUAAUACCAGCACCUCGAGUGGUCA
rnacentral:rRNA from 1 species